AUAAUCCCAGAUGCGGAUGAUUGUCUUUUGAUUUACGCGUGGUUGUUCAUUUCAUGCCUGAAACGGUGAGACUGCAACUGAGGUUCAUCCUAUAUGUGGAUGAAUUGUUUAUAGUGCACGCCCCUUAACGAAAGUCAUUCGGAAAGAAAAUUAUGUGUUGAUGCUUCUGUUGUUGCCGCCAGUAUCUCGAAAUUAUUUGUUUUCAAUCGGUAACGGUCGCGGGUGGAAAAAAAAUACUGUUAAUGAGAAUUUAAAAUUAAAACGUAGUUCGAGGUUUUGCUGGCGUAAUCUGGCCAGGUUUUAUCUGAAGCUGGAAUACGUCAAAUGAAUGAUACAAAAGUUGCGUAUUAUUUGAUCCGAUUACGUCCAAAACCAGCAAAUGAUGUUGAUCCAGAAGCAACACAGCGGAAAAGCGACGGAAGCUGCACCUUUCGUUUCGGAGUUUAAUAGAUUGCCACGUGCCAUCCGGAUGAUUGGGAAUCCGGGAACUGACCAUUGUUUGCUGCCAUUCUGACGAUCAGCAAUUAUCUUAAGUGAUGUUCCAUGCUGUCUUCCGGUAGCGAAAAUCAUAUUAAACUCUCAUUUCUACAGUGUUAUAAUUUGUGAUCAUGAUCGAAAUUUUUGUUAAUUUGUUGUUGGCGCGAUUAUUGCGUAACAAGUAAUAAAAUGUUUUACGUGUGAGA